UACAGCCAUACAAUGUUGAAACACCGGUUCCCCUUACGCUCACCAAAGUUAAGCAACGUCGAGGUUGACCAGUACUUAAAUGGGUGACCGUUUGGGUGUGCGGGUGGUGUA